rnacentral:rRNA from 1 species
CCUACGGGUGCUGCAGUGGGGAAUAUUGGACAAUGGGGGCAACCCUGAUCCAGCCAUGCCGCGUGUGUGAAGAAGGCCCUCGGGUUGUAAAGCACUUUCAGUGAGGAAGAACGCCUGGUGGUUAAUACCCAUCAGGAAAGACAUCACUCACAGAAGAAGCACCGGCUAACUCCGUGCCAGCAGCCGCGGUAAUACGGAGGGUGCGAGCGUUAAUCGGAAUUACUGGGCGUAAAGCGCGCGUAGGUGGCUUGAUAAGCCGGUUGUGAAAGCCCCGGGCUCAACCUGGGAACGGCAUCCGGAACUGUCAAGCUAGAGUGCAGGAGAGGAAGGUAGAAUUCCCGGUGUAGCGGUGAAAUGCGUAGAGAUCGGGAGGAAUACCAGUGGCGAAGGCGGCCUUCUGGACUGACACUGACACUGAGGUGCGAAAGCGUGGGUAGCAAACAGGAUUAGAUACCCCGGUAGUC